CCUACGGGUGGCAGCAGUGAGGAAUAUUGGUCAAUGGACGAGAGUCUGAACCAGCCAAGUAGCGUGAAGGAUGACUGCCCUAUGGGUUGUAAACUUCUUUUAUAUGGGAAUAAAAUGGUCCACGUGUGGGAUUUGGUAUGUACCAUAUGAAUAAGGAACCGCUAACUCCCUGCCAGCAGCCGCGGUAAUACGGAGGAUCCGAGCGUUAAUCGGAUUUAUUGGGGUUAAAGGGAGCGUAGGUGGAUUUUUAAGUUAGUUGUGAAAGUUUGCGGCUCAACCGUAAAAGUGCAGUUGAAACUGGCAGUCUUGAGUACAGUAGAGGUGGGCGGAAUGCGUGGUGUAGCGGUGAAAUGCUUAGAUAUCACGAAGAACUCCGAUUGCGAAGGCAGCUAACUGGACUGCAACUGACACUGAGGCUCGAAAGUGUGGGUAUCAAACAGGAUUAGAUACCCGGGUAGUC
rnacentral:rRNA from 1 species